rnacentral:lncRNA from 1 species
AUAAGGAUUGGAGGCUGGGUGUAUCCAAGCUGGAAAAUAAUGCCUGAGACAUGAGGUCUUAACUGUCGGGAGCCAGGUCUUCUGCUGGCAGGAAGGGUCACUUCUGUUAGGAAUGGAGACUGGACUCGGUUCUUUGAGCUUUUAAACGGGACGUUUUCAUCCACGUAUCCGUUCCCUCGAGAGGAGAAAAGUGACUCUUACAGCAAAAAGAUGGUUUUAGGGUUGCUGGUUUAUCUUCUUGAAAGUGGGAAGAUGUGAUAGGAGGCUUCAUCCCCCUCACCCAAAAGAUAAUAAUGAAAUACAAAUUGCCCAGCCAGUUUCAGGUCAACCAAUGCUUUUAAACUCCUUUGACUAACACACCCACUGCCUAGUUGCACCUUGGUAGAAGGAAGGAGGGACCUUAUUAAGCUUAGAAGGUGAUGAGUAAGGACUCUUCAGCAAGCCAUUGGUAUAGUUGAAACUAUGUGGGAGGAGAAAUACAGACAACCCUCCGGAUAGUGGAGGAGAGGGCAUAGGAUUUACUGUAGGGUAGACCUGGGCUGGUAUAGAUGUCAGCUUUGGAAUACAGUAGUCUAUGUGACUUGGGGGGAGUUAGUCUCUCCUAUCCAUAAAUAGGAACACGAAUUUGUUUUAUAGAAGAUUGUUAUGAGACUCCAAUGGGAUACCUGCAAUAACUGCAUAUUGUCUGGUCCUUAGAGGCAGUUGCUAUGUGCCAGUAAUAGAAAUAAAAUCAAUUGUGUUUCCUUUGAGGAAGUAGACAGCUGCCUUAGGUCAGCAGCAUUGAAUCAGGCUUGUGGCAUAUGCCCAGCCCUGUAGCAGGAACAUGCAUCUUGCUUACCCAGUUAUGCAAGGCUUUUGAGUUCCAUCCUCAACUAU